AUGCAACCAAAACAAAUCAUAAAGAAAAGGCAAGAACAU
rnacentral:guide_RNA from 1 species